rnacentral:misc_RNA from 1 species
UACAGAGGCCUCAAACGUUGUUCGGAAUUACUGGGCGUAAAGCGGGUGUAGGUGGCUAUGCAAGUCAGAUGUGAAAGCCCUGGGCUCAACCCAGGAAGUGCGUCUGAUACUGCGUAGCUAGAGUGCGAUAGAGGGUAGUGGAAUUCCUAGUGUAGGGGUGAAAUCCGUAGAUAUUAGGAGGAAUACCAAUGGCGAAGGCAGCUUCCUGGUUCGUCACUGACACUCAGACCCGAAAGCGUGGGGAGCAAACAGG